UAGUGACUUCCUAAAAAAACAUAUAAUUGUGUUAAGGAAAGUAUGAAAUAAAAACAAAUUUUUUGGUAUUUGGUUUUGCUCAUUUCAAACCCUUUUGAUCCAAAGAAAAGAAAAACUUAAAGGAAAGAAUAGCGAGUAACGCCCACUUUCUCUUUUUCAGCACCAAACGCUUCAUUUCCAAAGCAAAAACGACAACUUUUUGAGGCAAACGACAACGAAACAAGCCACCUCUCUUUCAAUCUCAAUCAUCCCUUACUCUACUACAGAGCCCAGUCCCAGGCUCUACUCAAAGGCAUGUUUUUCUUUCUACCCUCUUCUUCUUCUUUGCUCUUCUGUUACAGUCACGUCAAAUAAAGCCGUUAAUUUUUUGGUCAUGUUUAUCAGCAAGACCCAUAUAAUGGAUCAAUCGGUUCUCGAUGACAUAAUCAAUCGCCUACUUGAAGUACGAGGCCAACCCGGGAAGCAGGUUCAGUUAUCUGAGUUAGAGAUCCGUCAGCUAUGUGCAGCUUCUAAAGAAAUUUUCUUAAAUCAGUCUAAUUUGUUGAACCUUGAAGCACCCAUCAAAAUUUGUGGUGAUAUUCAUGGUCAAUAUUCAGAUCUUUUGAGGCUUUUUGAGUAUGGUGGAUUACCUCCUAAAUCCAACUAUUUAUUCUUGGGGGAUUAUGUCGAUCGAGGAAAACAGAGUCUAGAAACAAUAUGUCUACUCCUUGCUUAUAAAAUAAAGUACCCUGAGAAUUUUUUCCUCUUGAGAGGAAAUCAUGAAUGUGCUUCAAUAAAUCGUAUUUAUGGAUUUUAUGAUGAGUGUAAGAGAAGAUUCAAUAUAAGGAUCUGGAAAACAUUUACAGAUUGUUUUAACUGCUUACCCGUGGCAGCCUUAAUCGAUGAGAAGAUCCUCUGUAUGCACGGUGGCCUUUCUCCAGACCUUACUAAUUUGGAUCAAAUAAGAAAUCUGAACCGACCAACUGAUGUGCCAGAUACAGGAUUGCUAUGUGAUCUUUUAUGGUCUGAUCCAAGUAAAGAUGUUCAAGGUUGGGGAAUGAAUGACAGGGGAGUUUCAUAUACUUUUGGUGCUGAUAAAGUCAGUGAAUUUCUUCAGAAGCAUGAUUUGGAUCUCAUUUGUCGUGCUCACCAGGUUGUGGAGGAUGGCUAUGAAUUCUUUGCCAACCGACAACUUGUAACUAUAUUUUCAGCACCAAAUUACUGUGGAGAAUUCGAUAAUGCUGGGGCAAUGAUGAGUGUAGAUGAUUCAUUGAUGUGCUCUUUCCAAAUAUUAAAGCCUUCAGAUAAAAAAUUAAAGUUAAACUUUGGCUGCACAACCACAACCAAACCCGGAAACCCUUCAACAGCAGUAAAUGUUUUUGGGAGCACAACUACAGCUAAACCUGGAAGCAGUCCAGCAGGAGUCAAGCUUGCUUGAUCUAUACGCCUGUAAAUUGAGAAAACUUAUCUUAGUCUAACCAUAUUUGAGGUGAUCUAAUAGUGGAUCAGACACUUCCAGAGCUGUUUGGUAUGCAGGUUUCCUUACUCGGGAAUGAAAAUACAAAAUAUAACCUAUGUUUAGUAUGUAUUUUUAAUUUUUUUGGAUGGAGUUGUCAUUUUACUGUACCCUUACCUUUACAUUAAGGGAAUAUCAACAUCUUCAAAACGUUGAGUUUUAUUUGACUGGAAAACUCGGCCCUUACUUUGAAACGCUCUCUCUUCGUCACUUGGUGAAGCCUUAGCUGUUGUUCGCUUUAUCUUCUUCCUUGAAUCAGUCGGGCUCGGGCUAGGCUUCCUCUCUCUUUGGGACAAGCAGCCUCUUUGCCUUCUGAUGAGGUUGUUUCGAUAUGGUCUCCUCUGUUGGCUGGUUCUAUCAAGGUUGAAAGUGAUGUUGCUAUUGAUAAAAUUGGUGCUUGUAGAGGCCUUGAUAUGGUGGUGCGUGAUCAUUUUGGGUACUGUUCUCGCUUUUGUUGUUUGGUGCCUAGAAGGUUGUCUUGAUCCUAAAGUGGCAGAAGCUUUGGUGCUUUGGAAUAUCAUGGUCCAAUGUCAUUGCUUUGGGUAUGAUAAUAUCAUCUUUGAAAAGAAUUGCUUGAAUAUUGUGCAAAAAGUAGUGAACAAAGUUUCUGUUAUUUCCUUUUUGGAUUUUGUCUUAGAUGAAAUUGGUAAUCUUUGUGAUGGUUUUAAAGAUAUUUUUUUUUUUACAUUAAACUAUAGAUUUAAAUGUUGUUCCCCACACCUUAGCUAAAAUCGCUCUUACGACGUCGAACACUAUUUGGUGGUCGGAUUCUUCAAGUUGUAUUCAAAACUUUUUUAUAGUUGAUGUUACUCAAUAUUGUGUUCUCGCCCCCUCCUUGGAGUUUUCAUUACUCUUAGUGUGGUAGUUGAGACAUUUUUCUCAAAAUAAAUAAAUAAAUAAAUAUCUUAAGCAUCAUCAUAAUAAUCUAGCACAUAACCAAACACUGUAAUGCUUUCCUAAUUUUAAGAUUCGCUUUAUCACUCUCAAAGCAAUCUCAAAUCUAUUCUCAUAAAAUAAAACCUGUAUACCAAACGAUCCUUCGAGAUUAGAGUUUGUCAUGUAUAAUUUGUUUAGUUUUAAAUAUUCUAAGAUUGGGCAAUUUGCUUUAUAAAGGUUUCAAGUGCUGUAAAAUUUCCUUAAUAUAGUGUUCUAUAUUGGAAUAAACUCUAUAAAGUCAUAGUUCAUAAUUUGGAUUAGUUCUUCCUUAUAAAUAAUUUGCAUUAAUCUACAUAUUGCAAAGGCAUAUACUAUAUUACUUUAAAGUUUAAAAGAAAAUAAAAUGUGAAUUUGAUGGCGUGA